GUAUUUCCGCCGGCGCGAAACGAGCGUAGCUUCCUUGUCGUGUGGCCUCAGUCCUUCGCCGUCCCUCGCCGUCCUUCGCCAUCGCACGCCACCGCACCCCAUCUCUCGAAAUCUGCAGACAUCUUGAUUUUUCCCACGCUGUCUGUCAGGUCUCCGCCGCCACUCGACGCCAGGGCGCCGGGCCUUGUGGGCUGUGCUGCACCUCGGACGGCUUCGCACCAGCCAGCGCCCUCUCUCUCCUGCAGCACUCUGAUCUGCACCCCCUGAGGGGCUUCCACUGUCCGCGGGGUGAGAAUGCCCCUGGGAGUGUCACAUGACUGCCGCCCCAUGUGUGUGAGAGGCGUCCUCUGGGAGAGCAUGGAUCCUGAGGUCCCAGGAUUGUCAGCUGACCUCUGUCCUGUGUGCCCAGUGGCCCCAGGUGACGUGUCUUCAAGAAGAGGCUGAGCUGCGGUGCUUGUAAGGGUCUCAUUCUGUCACCCAGGCUGGAGUGCAGUGGUGCAAUGAUGGCUCACUGCAGCCUCGACCUGGGCUCAAGUGAUCCUCCACCUCAGCUUCCUGAGUAGCUGGGACCACAGAGUCAUGUGCUGUUCCUGGGGCUUGGAUGAUGUAGGGGAAGCAAGGUGAAAGUGGUAUCCCGUGGUUCCACGUUCUGUCCUGCUGUGGGGCUGUCCCUCACAUGCUUUCAGUGGCUGUUGCAGAGGAAGAGCCUCCGGAAAUCUGCGUCUCAGCCUUAGAUCCAAGGACAGUCCAAGGAAGUCCUAAGACCAUGGAGUUGGUGAUCUGGGAUCUGGGUUUGCUGAUAUUUCUCACCGUGAAUCUCUUGGUGGUGUUUGUGGGCACGAGAGGGGCAGAGAAUGGAGAGUGAGGCUACCACAUGAAGCGUCACCAGAGCUGCUCCCUGCUGCCUGCUCAGAGCACCCCGGAUCCACUGUUCAAUCUGCACAAGAUUCGGGGUCCAGACAUGGGAGACUUCAGCUGCCUCAGAGGACCGUGGACAGGGAAGGCCAGCCUCGCAUCCCUCUGUCCAUGCCUGGAAUGACUUUAAUAACCAAGAGUUUUAUUUUUGAAUUUGUAGCUGUCGUUCACUUUUUACCCACCCAUUCAAUAAACCUUACAGAAUUGCUC
rnacentral:lncRNA from 1 species